rnacentral:rRNA from 1 species
UAGGCUUAACACAUGCAAGUCGAGGGGUAACAUUGGUGCUUGCACCAGAUGACGACCGGCGCACGGGUGAGUAACGCGUAUGCAACCUGCCUGUAACUGGAGGAUAGCCCUUGGAAACGAGGAUUAAUACUGCGUAACAUUAUUGAAUCGCAUGGUUUAAUAAUCAAAUCUACGGAGGUUACAGAUGGGCAUGCGUGCCAUUAGUUAGAUGGUGAGGUAACGGCUCACCAUGACAUCGAUGGCUAGGGGUUCUGCAAGGAAGAUCCCCCACACUGGUACUGAGACACGGACCAGACUCCUACGGGAGGCAGCAGUGAGGAAUAUUGGUCAAUGGAGGCAACUCUGAACCAGCCAAGCCGCGUGAAGGAAGACUGUUCUAUGAAUUGUAAACUUCUUUUGUGGUAGAGUAAAGAUGUCUACGUGUAGAUAUUUGCAAGUAUACCAUGAAUAAGCAUCGGCUAACUCCGUGCCAGCAGCCGCGGUAAUACGGAGGAUGCAGGCGUUAUCCGGAUUUAUUAGGUUUAAAGGGUGUCUAGGCUGCCACAUAAGUCAGGGGUGAAAGUCGGUUGCUCAACAAUCGAAUUGCCUUUGAAACUGUGUGGCUCGAGUAUAGAUGAGGUAGGCGGAAAUGUGUAGUGUAGCGGUGAAAUGCAUACAUUUUACACAGAACCCCAAUUGCGAAGCGCAGCUUACCAAACUAUUACUGACGCUGAAGCACGCAACCGUGGGUACCGAACACGAUUAGAUACCCUGGUAGUCC